rnacentral:misc_RNA from 1 species
CUGAAGCACAAGCAAUUUCUCCUUUUUUUGUCUCAUCCAAUCGAUUAUAAAACCGUAGUACAUAAACGUCCCCAUGAUUGACCUUUCGACGCCCUAGUUCCUCCACCAUGAGUGUAGGCCCAACUACACCUCUCCUAAUAGGUUUAAUGCCAGGGUUCUCAUUAGGAUCACGCUUGUACAUCUCAACAUAUUUGCCUCUUAUAAACAGAAACCUGAGGUGACAAUACUCAUGGCCAAUAGAAUUGGUACCUAAAUGAUAAACCCAACCAAAAUAUUCCCAAAUCCCUCCCUCCUUGUCCUCUAAAAC